rnacentral:rRNA from 1 species
AUACGUAGGGGGCGAGCGUUGUCCGGAAUGAUUGGGCGUAAAGGGCGCGUAGGCGGCGCGGUAAGUCUGGAGUGAAAGUCCUGCUUUCAAGGUGGGAAUUGCUUUGGAUACUGCCGCGCUUGAGUGCAGGAGAGGUUAUCGGAAUUCCCGGUGUAGCGGAGAAAUGCGUAGAGAUCGGGAGGAACACCAGUGGCGAAGGCGGGUAACUGGACUGCAACUGACGCUGAGGCGCGAAAGUGUGGGGAGCAAACAGGAUUAGAUACCCUGGUAGUCCACACUGUAAACGAUGAAUGCUAGGUGUAAGAGGUAUCGACCCCUUUUGUGCCGGAGUCAACACAAUAAGCAUUCCGCCUGGGGAGUACGGCCGCAAGGUUGAAACUCAAAUGAAUUGACGGGG